rnacentral:lncRNA from 1 species
GCUUGUAUAAAGUUAUUUUGGGUUAGAAUAUGUUAUAAUACAAGGAAUUUGAUUGAUUACAAUUGCUAGAAAUGCAUGAAGAUUUUUUAGAAGUGAGAAGAAAUACUUGUUGAAAUUUGGCCUCAAAUGGAAUAAGAACCCAAAACCAUUGCUUUGAGACAGUGAAUGGCUUGUAUAAAGUUAUUUUGGGUUAGAAUAUGUUAUAAUAAAAUGAAUUUGAUUGAUUACAAGUGCUAGCGAUGCAUGAAGAAUGUUUAGA